GAUGAACGCGGCGGCGUGCCUAAUACAUGCAAGUCGAGCGAGAAGCUUGGAAAUGACGCUUCGGUUGAUUUUCCAAGCGGACAGCGGCGGACGGGUGAGUAACGCGUAGGCAACCUGCCCCUGACAGAGGGAUAGCCAUUGGAAACGAUGAUUAAAACCUCAUGACACCGUAGUAGCACAUGCUACAUCGGUCAAAGAUUUAUCGGUCAGGGAUGGGCCUGCGUCUGAUUAACUGGUUGGUGAGGUAACGGCUCACCAAGGUGACGAUCAGUAGCCGACCUGAGAGGGUGAUCGGCCACAUUGGAACUGAGACACGGUCCAAACUUCUACGGAAGGCAGCAGUAGGGAAUCUUGCACAAUGGGCGAAAGCCUGAUGCAGCAACGCCGCGUGAAGGAUGAAGGGCCUUCGGGUUGUAAAACUUUCUGUUCUAAAGGGAA
rnacentral:rRNA from 1 species